CUUUCCUACUUUGGGGAGUAGCCGCGCUGCAGACCCUGGACCGCCACUAAGAGCGGCAAGGCAGCGACCUGCGUCAACACACUUGGCUCCAGAAGCCAUGGCGCAGGAUUCAGAUAUCAAGACUGAACCGGCAAGACCAGAGACUCUGCUGGGUGCGUGGGAUGAGACGCCGGUCUCUGCCGCCUGCAGGGUUUCUGUCU
rnacentral:sRNA from 2 species